CUACUUAUCUCCCAGGUGAGACACUAUGAUCAAAAAGUGGCUUUCUCAGGGUGAGGCUUGUUCAUUCAACUUCAGAUGUGUUGAUCUCUGUGAUUUCCCUUAUGUGGGAAAAUUGCAUAAUUUGUGCAAGUAGGGGACUGUGUUUGCACUUUCUCCUG
ensembl:snRNA U1 U1 spliceosomal RNA